rnacentral:rRNA from 1 species
UACGGAGGGUGCGAGCGUUGUCCGGAAUCAUUGGGCGUAAAGGGCGCGUAGGUGGCCCCUCAAGCGUGCGGUGAAAGUCAGGGGCUCAGCCCCUGAUCGGCCGUGCGAACUGGGGAGCUUGAGCACUGUAGAGGCAGGCGGAAUUCCGGGUGUAGCGGUGGAAUGCGUAGAGAUCCGGAAGAACACCGGUGGCGAAGGCGGCCUGCUGGGCUAUGGCUGACACUGAGGCGCGACAGCGUGGGGAGCAAACAGG